CCAAAGCCCUAUUUUCUUAUCCUCGUUUCUGUCUUCUUUCUUUUUGCGCGACCCUCUCUCUUCCUGUGUCUCCAAAACCCACCCAAAUCACAUCUCUCUUUUUCUCUCCGUUUCUCGAGUAAUUUUUGGGUGUUCCCGGUACACCACGUGGCUGGUGUACCAUUCAAUAGACGGAAGACAUAUGGAAUAUUUCUAAUACAGUCCGCCACAUGUCAUAAAAAGAAAUGCAGUAAGUUGGAUAAUAAUUUCAUAUGUUCUAUGUUUAUUGGAUGGUACACCAGACACGUGAUGUACCUGGAACAUUUAAAAAUUUCUCCCGUUUCUCUAACUCCCUCCCAAGUUCUCUGGUUUACACUCCUCUAGUUCUCUAUCCUUGGCUCUCUCUCCCUCCCGAUCUUUCUCUAUUUUCCCUUAAAAGCAAAUUAGAAGGCGGAUGGACAGGGGCAAAGAAGAAGCGUUAGAAAUUGAAAAACUUCGGCAACAGGAGCGGCUUGAUGAGAAACUUUGGCUAAAGGAGCGGCUGGAUGAGGAUGAACGGAAGAAGAUGAGGAAGAAGAUGAAGGAUCGACAUCUCCAUACGGAGAAACGGAAGAGACAUAUGCUAGGCGAUGAUAUGGAGGAGCAGAAGAGUAAAGAAGCUUUUCAUGGGGGAUCCAGAUGGGGGUCGUGGGAUCCCCCUGUCCUGCCUACUAAGGGUAAAGAAGUGGAUAUUGAGCACAAGGAUGAGAGACUUUCCCUCUCCAAUUGGAAAUCGGAUGAUUGCCUUGUCCUGUUUUGUACGGAGGAGCAGAAGGGUAAAGACGAUUUUGACAUCACGGAGAGUCUGGAUCAGAAGCUUAUAGAAUCUUUUUUAGGCGAUUCCGAUUGGUUGCCGUUGGAUAUCCCGCAAGAAGUGAAUAUUGAGCAUGAGCACAAGGAAUUACACUUCGAAUUUGAGGAGGAAGCAUCUGAAGGAGGAGGAGGAGGAGCUGAUGGAUGCAAAGCAUCUGAUGGAUGAGGAGGAGGAGCUGAUGGAUGCAAAGCAUCUGGUGGAUGUGGAGGAUCUGGAGGCAGAGGAUGAGCAGGAGCUUAAUGCUUUUUAUGGCGGAUCCAAUUCAGUUUCGUUGGGGCAGUUGGUGAUUAGAGACCAAUUGCAUGCUCCUCCAUCGCCACAUGGGAUGAGCACUCCAAAAAUCCUGUAUUUAUGUUUUGGCGAAUAUAUGGCUGGUAAUAAGACUCUGUACUCUAUUCAAGCACUAUGCUUGCAUUCUUUCCCUCCAGUCCAGACCUUAAAGGCCAAAGAACUGGCAUAUAUACGUGGUGAAGGGCUUCCCCUCCGUAUGGGUUGCGGUCUUUUUGGAUCGAACAUUGUUUUUCUCGGCGGCGUUGAAAGCAGAUUCGAUUGUUACAGCGGUGAUUUCACAACAUAUCCACGUAAAGACAUUUAUACUUUUGACACUAAACAUCCCUACACCUGCGAAGUCUUCAACAACAGUUCCCUCCGACAAGGAAAGUCUCGUCCUUUUCUGGUGCAGUACUACGAUAAGCUGUAUGUGCUCUCUAUUUUAACGUUAAGCUUAUGUGAUGGUAGCAAUUUUAGACCUGCUUUUGAGAUGUUCGACUUAAAACAGGGCAAGUGGGCGACUCUGCCUGCCCCUGUAGCUGGCUCUCGUUUUAUCUCUCAUGUAGUUGUAGGCUCAUGUAUUUUUGUCAAUGCUACAUUUGGGCAUGUGUUAUGCUUUGACAUGGCUGACCCCAGCCCAAAAUGGAGAGUGCACAAUUUUACCAACUGCUCUGCAUUGCCCUAGGAAUAUAUUCGCGAAACUUUAACUGUAGAAUAUGGGGAUGGCAAUUGGGUGAUUUUGAGUUGUAGGCCAUAUUUAGAUGUUGACAGAUUCAAUGAUCAUCCUCAUUAUGAAUGGAAGCAUACUUUUAUAACCGCUCAUUUGAUGUCCAAGGACUACACAUUACUGACACCUUUUGAACCUGAUCUGAAGAUUCCGCAUGGUUACUUACCCCCUGGUGGAGAUAAACAUUUGCCCGUGCGUGGUGUAGAGUAUAAAUUGGUCCAUCUACAAGGUCGAGAAAUCUGCCUUAUUAUAUCCGUAGAAAGAGGGGACGAGUUGGAGGACGGAGAGAUCGAGAGGAUGCAGACUUAUGUCAUGAUUUUCGAAUUUGAAAUUGUCGAGGGCAAACACACCUUAGCCUUCAAAGUCUUGCAUCCUGCUUCCAGGAUUAUAGACGACCGGUCAUCUGAAUCUAGGACCAAUAAAGUAGGCCUGGAGGGUGCCUUUUUUCUGUAAAAAGUCAUUAAAUACGUGAAAGUGCAGAAGGUGCAGUCAUUCCGAAGAAGGCCUCAGAUGUUGAUACUGACUAAGAUGGAAGAUCUUCUACUUUUGUUUAUGGAACUGAUAAUUUUGUAUUAUGUUUUAUUUAUACUUUGGUGUCAGUCAAAUAUUGGGCUAACAUCCAAUCACCAAUUAUGUGGUUUCCAACAUUUGUAAUUGUUGCUUUUCUUAUCCAUGUGCUUUCAUGUUA